UUUUAAUUAUAAAUGGACAUAGGUCCAUCGGGCUUGCUUCCCUAUCAAGUUUACAAAUAUAAUUAAAAAGUGGUGUACAGGUGAGUAUAAAGAUAUUCUUGGCCGUCCUUAAAGUGAAGGUAAAUCCUUCAUAAUAAAUAAAGGGAGGCGUAUCACCCGCUUUAAGAGGAUAAUAAAUAUCUUCGAGAUAGGUAGUAGUUAAGGUGAUGGCUUAACUAGCCUAUAACUCUCGUAGUCGAAUCUGAAAGGUUGAUCGACCACAUUGGGUCUGAAAAAACCCCAAUGCAAUUUAGUACAGCAGUGAGGAAUCUUGGUCAAUGGCCUAACGGCUGAACUGGCAACUUGAAGAAGCUAAUUAAAUCUUCGGAAGAUUCUAUUAUAUUCUUGAAUAUAAUAUAAGUGGUUGUAUUAAAUGGUUUAAUAAAUAGUUUUGUUUAUAUAUAGAUAAUGACAAUAUAUAUAUACAGUCUUGACUAAUUACGUGCCAGCAGUCGCGGUAAUACGUAAGAGACUAGUGUUAUUCAUCUUAAUUAGGUUUAAAGGGUACCUAGACGGUCAAUAUAGCUUCUAUGUUGUUAGUACUUGACUAGAGUUUUAUGUAAGAGAGUAGUACUUAAGGAGUAGACCUGAAAGUCUGUAAUACCCUAGGGACUCGGUAAAGGCGAAGGCAGCUCUCCAUGUAAAAACUGACGUUGAAGGACGAAGGCUCAGAGCACAAAUAGGAUUAGAUACCCUAGUAGUCUUUGCAGUAAAUGAUGAAUGCCAUAGGUCAGAUUAAGAUUUAAUAAUUUAUGUUUAUCAGUAUGGAACUAAAUAUUGAACAAAUUUGGUCUAUAAAUGAAAGUGUAAGCAUUUCACCUCAAGAGUAAUGUGGCAACGCAGGAACUGAAAUCACUAGACCGUUUCUAACACCAGUAGUGAAGUAUGUUGUUUAAUUCGAUGAUCCUCGAAAAACCUUACCACAAUUUGUAUAAUAAUAUUACAGGAGUUGCACGGCUGUUUUCGGUUAAUGUUGUGAAACUGUGGUUUCCAUGAAAUUAACGAAAUCCCUGGCUUUAUUUUUUCUUUUCAAUUUAGCGAUAAAGCAUUUGAACCCAAAAAUUGGGAAAGAAAAAGGGGACUAAGACAAGUCAUCAUGGCCUGCUUGAUGAUGUAGGAAGUCAUCUGUGUGGGUAAAACUAUCAAAUUCCGGGGACAUCCAAAAAAUUUUGAUACUAAACUAUAAUCGAAAGAUUAUAUGUGGCUGAAUUAAUUCUUCAGGUGUAGUAACAAGUCAAAAUAAGAAUGAAAAUGAAAUGGAUUAUCGCGGAUCUAAGUCAGCAAUACGUAAUAGUAUUACUGUAAAAGAGCAACGAGUAGAUGGUAGUUGAUACAUUAAAAAUAACUUAAUGUGUUUAAGGUGUACUCUAAUAAAUUUCGAAAGAAAUUCUCAAGUCAAAAUCCUUUCUAUGCAAAUAAGUAACAUAAGAAAAUAUACUUCUAUUACAACCCACAAGCCAUUAACUAUUACGAAACUUCAAUCUAGUUUAAAUCCAUGAUUUUUAACAGGGUUUUCUUUUUUUUUUAUAUUCAUAAAAAAACAGCAGAAGGAUCUUUUUCUAUUUUGAUUCAAACUAAUAAUAAAUAUGCUACAGGUUGAAGAAUUAAACCUAUAUUUACUAUAGGGUUACAUAAAAAAGACCUAGAUUUAUUGAACAAAAUUCAAUCUUAUUUAGGUAUAGGUAAAAUUCAUAUUCACGGUAAAGAUUCUAUACAAUUUCGUGUAGAUUCCUUGAAGGAUUUACAAAUUCUUUUAAAUCAUUUUGAGAACUUUCCACUUGUAACGGCUAAACUAGCUGAUUAUAUUUUAUUUAAGAAAGCUUUUGACAUAAUUCUUCUAAAAGAACAUUUGUCUCAAGAAGGUCUGUUAAAAUUAGUAGGAAUAAAAGCAUCACUAAAUUUAGGACUUAAUCAAAAUAUAAAAAAAGCGUUUUCUAAUUGAGAAGAAUUACAAGUCAAUAGACCUAAUUAUACUUUUAAAAGUAUACCCGAUUCAAAUUGAAUGGCAGGAUUUGCUAGUGGAGAUAGUAGCUUUAAUAUAAAAACAAGUAAAUCGACUACUAGUGCAUUAGGUCAAAGAGUUCAAUUAAGAUUCGCGAUAGAAUUAAAUAUCAGAGAAAAGGAUUUUGUAGAACAUUUACCUGCUUAUUUUAAGUUAAGGGAUCCUUUAAAAAAUGUAUAUAUUGAUAAUAAGGUUGCAAGAUUUCAAAUAGUAAACUAUUUUGACAUUACAGAUAAAAUCCUUCCUUUUUUUGAAAAGUAUUUAAUACAAGGUAAAAAAAGUUUAGAUUUUAUAAGUUUUAAAGAGGUAGCCUUAAUUAUUAAGAAUAAAGAUCAUUUAAAUUUAGAAGGCUUUAAAGAAAUAUUAGAUAUAAAAGAUAGAAUGAACAAGUAAUAGGAAAAAAAAAUUAAAGUACAUUUAAUCUAUUUACUUAUUUGUACGAUAAAUUUGAUCGCUAUGUGAUAUUGUGGGCUAUAGACGUGCCGCAUAUUCCUACACAAAGAGAUGCAAAAAUGUGAAUUUAAGCUAAUCUCAAAAAUAGGAUAUAAAAAAUUUAAAAAAAGGAUUGUAGUCUGAAAUUCGACUAUAUGAAUAAGUAAUUACUAGUAAUCGUGAAUCACCAUGUCACGGUGAAUAGACCUUGGAUUGGUACUAACCACUCGUCACAUGCUGAAAAGAGCGUGCGCAAUAAGUUUGCCUUCUUAUUAAUUCGACAAAAAACAUGCGGGUUUGUUUAAUCUAUUGAUAGGAAUCUUCGUAUGCGUGGCUCUAAUUAGUGUU
rnacentral:rRNA from 1 species